rnacentral:tRNA from 1 species
UAAAUGAAAGCCAAAAUAGAGGCGCCUAGCUGUUAAUUAGGAGAAUGUAAAUAUCUUACUCAUUUAG